GAUGAAGAACGCAGCGAAAUGCGAUAAGUAAUGUGAAUUGCAGAAUUCAGUGAAUCAUCGAGUCUUUGAACGCACAUUGCGCCCCCUGGUAUUCCGGGGGGCAUGCCUGUCCGAGCGUCAUUGCCGCCCUCAAGCACGGCUUGUGUGUUGGGCCCCCGCCCCCCGGCUUCGGGGGGCGGGCCCGAAAGGCAGCGGCGGCACCGCGUCCGGUCCUCGAGCGUAUGGGGCUUCGUCACCCGCUCUGUAGGCCCGGCCGGCGCCCGCCGGCGACCCCAAUCAAUCUUUCCAGGUUGACCUCGGAUCAGGUAGGGAUACCCGCUGAACUUAAGCAUAUUAAUAGCGGAGGA
rnacentral:misc_RNA from 1 species